rnacentral:rRNA from 1 species
GAAAAGAACCCCGGGAGGGGAGUGAAAUAGAACCUGAAACCGUAUGUCUACAAGCAGUCGAAGCACCUUAAGAGUGCGACGGCGUGCCUAUUGAAGAAUGAACCGGCGAGUUACAUUAUGUUGCGAGGUUAAGUGGGAGACACGGAGCCGAAGCGAAAGCGAGUCUUAAUAGGGCGACUAGUAACAUGGUGUAGACCCGAAACCGCAGUGAUCUAUCCAUGGUCAGGUUGAAGCGCAGGUAAAAAUGCGUGGAGGACCGAACCCGUGAGUGUUGAAAAACUUUGGGAUGAACCGUGGAUAGGGGUGAAAUGCCAAUCGAACGCGGAGAUAGCUGGUACUCCCCGAAAUAGCUUUAGGGCUAGCCUCAGGGAAGAUUAUAGACGGUAGAGCACUGAUCUGGCAAGGGGGCGUAAAGCCUACCGACCCUAGUCAAACUUCGAAUGGCUAUAAUUAAGACCCUGGGAGUCAGACUGCGAGUGAUAAGACCCGUAGUCAAGAGGGAAACAGCCCAGACCGCCGACUAAGGUCCCCAAUGCUGUACUAAGUGGAAAAGGAUGUAAGACUUCAUAAACAACCAGGAUGUUGGCUUAGAAGCAGCCACCAUUAAAAGAGUGCGUAAUAGCUCACUGGUCGAGAGGCCUUGCGCCGAAGAUGUCCGGGGCUCAAGUACAGAACCGAAGUCGCGGCAGGAUUAUAUAAUUCUGGGUAGGGGAGCGUUGUAUAUCCGACUGAAGGUGUACCGGAAGGAGCGCUGGAGGAUAUACAAGAGAGAAUGCCGGUAUGAGUAGCGAAAAGAACAGUGAGAAUCUGUUCCACCGAAAGCCUAAGGUUUCCUGAGCAACGCUCGUCGACUCAGGGUAAGUCGGGACCUAAGCCGAGGCAAAAAGCAUAGGCGAUGGACAACAGGUUAAUAUUCCUGUACCGCUUCAAAUCGUUUGAGCAAUGGAGUGACACAGAAGGUAGCUUGAGCACGCGAUUGGAUGUGCGUGUCGAAGGUGGUAGGUUGCAGUAUAGGCAAAUCCGUACUGUAUAAGACCGAGAACUGAUAGAUAGACGAUACUUCGGUAAAGUCAAAUUCAAGUGAGCCAUGCUGUCGAGAAAAGCUUCUAGUGAGAGAUGAGGCGCCCGUACCGAAACCGACACAGGUAGGCGGGGAGAGAAUCCUAAGGUGCGCGGGACAACCCUCGUUAAGGAACUCGGCAAAUUGUAUCCGUAACUUAGGGAUAAGGAUAGCCGGAGGAUGUGAAGGGAUUUACUUCUGGAGCGUCAGCCGGUGGCACAAGAGAGGCCCAAGCGACUGUUUAGCACAAACACAGGUGCCUGCAAAAGAGAAAUCUGACGUAUAGGUGCUGACACCUGCCCGGUGCUGGAAGGUUAAGAGGAGGGCUUAGAGGCAACUCGAAGGCUUGAAUUGAAGCCCCAGUAAACGGCGGCCGUAACUAUAACGGUCCUAAGGUAGCGAAAUUCCUUGUCGGGUAAGUUCCGACCCGCACGAAAGGUGUAACGACUUGGGCACUGUCUCAACGAGGGACCCGGUGAAAUUGAAGUACCUGUGAAGAUGCAGGUUACCCGCGACUGGACAGAAAGACCCCAUGGAGCUUUACUGCAACCUGACAUUGAUGUUCGGUAAAUAACGUACAGGAUAGGUGGGAGACGGAGAAGUAUUGGCGUUAGCUGAUAUGGAGUCAACCUUGGGAUACCACCCUUUAUUUAUUGGACCUCUAACUGAAGAAGUAACGACUCUCAGGACAGUAUCAGGCGGGCAGUUUGACUGGGGCGGUCGCCUCCCAAAAUGUAACGGAGGCGCCCAAAGGUUCCCUCAGCGCGAACGGAAACCGCGCAAAGAGUGUAAAGGCAGAAGGGAGCUUGACUGCGAGUCAGACACGACGAGCAGGUACGAAAGUAGGGCUUAGUGAUCCGGUGGUUCCGAGUGGAAGGGCCAUCGCUC